UAAACUAUAGUCUAUAGGUUAUAAGAUUUAUGAGUUGCAUUCAUAAGAAGUUUCAAACUAGUUUA
rnacentral:tRNA from 1 species